rnacentral:lncRNA from 1 species
GAGAAAUUAAACCAACGAAGCUUUAACAUUAUAUUUGUUGAUGAAUGUGGAAGUUCUGAGAUUUUGAGUGUUCAACUUAAUAUUUAAUAAUAGGGACAUAAUCAGCGGAGAGGAGGGCAAGCAGGGGGACUUAUUUCUUCUUUAGCUAAAUUAAAACAUUAAAUUUUAGUCUUUUUAGUUUUUUAUUAAAUAGAAUAAUUGCAUUUUUGGCCCUAUGAAAAGUUAAUAAUUUAAUCUAAGUUUUUUUUAUAAUACACAACUUUAGCCCGGGCCCAUGCAGAUUAAAUAAACAAAAAAAUAAAACCAAAUAAAAUAAAAUUCAGUCCAUUGUCCAUUUACACCCAAAAUAAACCCAAGAUCUUAGCCCAAUUACAUAAAUAAUUAAAACCCAAAUAACCUAAACCCUAGCCCAACAAGCAGCCCAAUACACCCAACAUUUUCAGCAGAGAGAAAAACAAAAAACCCUAGGUAGCCGCAAGCCUAACAGCAACCAAGUGCGCUGUCGUCGCCGCCAUUUACGCGCCACACCUCCACGUUGACUGGCCACGUACCUGCAAUUCAGCAAACAAGGAAGCAAGCAGCAAAAAGAAAGGGACUAAUAGCGAAAUGGAAGGAAAGAAAUAUUAUUAUUAUUUUUUAUAUAUCUAUUUUCCUUUUCGUUUUGGCUAUAAAAAGCCAAUUAAAAUCUAUAAUAGGGGGAAGACGCACAUAUUGUUUUAAGAAAUUACAAAAAGAAAAUGAAAAGGAAAGACUGAGUUUUUUUGUUGGAGGUGAUUUUUUAAAAGUUUUUCUUUUUUUUUCUGUUGUUCUGUUCUUUUUUUAUAUAAGUAUGAAACAAAAUAAAAAGGAGGGUGAUUUAGUUUCUUUUUCAUGUUUUCUUCUUUCUAUUUCGAUCUCUAUUUCAUGUCUUUGAAAUAAUAGUAAAAGAGGGGAGGAGUUGUUUACCUUUUGAUCGGCGGCGUCGUUGUGCUGUGUGGGAGAUGUUUGUAAACGGCGCAGAGAAAGGAAAGGAGCUAUUAAGUUUUUUCUCCUUUGCUUUCUAAUGGCCGAAUGAUUAGGGUUUUUUUAGAUUUAUGAUAAUUUUUGAAACAACACUGUUUGGACUUUAUGCCAAGGCUCAAUGGCUUAUUUUCACUUUUGGUCUUCCUGUUUUACAAUGUUUUUAAAUUACUUUUUUUAUUUCUUGUAAAUUUCGCAACGCAUUUUAUUAUUGUUUCAAUUUAGUCCAAUACUGUGCAGUGUUUUGGGAGGCUUGGGUAAAUUGCUCCUUCGUUCCUCCUCCUGUUGCGCGUGUUUUAAAUUGCUCUCUUUCUUGUUUUAUUUUUGAAUUCAUCCUUUAAAUUCUGUUUGUUUUCAACUUAAUCCUUAAUUUGUUAUUUUAAGUUUUUUUUUAUUAUAUUAUUAAUACUGUUUAUUAGUAUUAUUAUUACUAUAUUAUUAUUAGUUUUUUUAUUUAUUAUAUCAUAUAUUAUUAUACCUACAUAUAUAUAUAUGUGCAUAUGUAUGUUAAUAUAUAUAUGUUUAUUUUAAACGUUUUUAAAUACAUAUGCAUAUUAUGUAUAUAUUUUAUUAUUAUUUUAUUUUCAUAGUUUUUAUAUAUUUUAUAUACAUUUAUAUUUUAUAAUAUUUAUAUUUUCAUAUUUUAUAAUUUAUAUAUGUUUAUACAUUCUUUGUAAUAUAUAUAUGUACUUUUUAGAAUUAUCAUAAGUUUUUUGUUAUUAUUUUGUUUUGAUAUAUUUCAUGUUUUUAUAUAUGUAUACUUAUAUAUAUGCCUGUUUUAAUAUAUGCAUAUACAUGUUUUCAAAAUUUAUUUAUGUAUUAUACUUAUAUUUUGAAAAUACAUAUGUACAUAUAAUUUAAAUUAAAGUAUUUGUUACAUAUCGUAUUAACAUUUUUUUAACAUAUCUUUUAGAAAAUACAUAUUUUGGUUUUGGUAAAACAUUAAAAACAUUUUCUUUUGAUUCAAAGACUUUUAAAAUAAAAGCGAAAUUCAAAGUUCGGAAUUUUCGAGGAAAUUGAGCCCUAACGUAUUGGGUUCCGAUUUUUUUUGUUAAUCCUAAAUAACCGAGAAUAUUCUUUAUUUUACAUAAGUAUAAAAUCAUUUUCGGGAACUUAACUUAUUGCGUCCUAAUGUAUUGGGUGUAACAUAUUGCGUUCUCGAAAUGAAGAUUUUCUUAUAAAAUAAAAGCGAUAUUCAAAGUUCGGGGAUUUUGAGACAUUGUACCCUUCUUCGCAUGACUUGAACAUUUGAUUAUCCUUUUCAGAUUUCAUUAUUGGAGUUUUUUUUUUUAAAUCUUUUUAACCCUCGACACUAAGACGUUAAAUAAUUAAUUUGGUACCGAUUUUUGGACAUUACGAGGGUGCUAACCCUUCCUCGUGCGUAACUGACUUCCGAACUCGUUUUCUCAAAUUUCAUAGACCAGAAUAAUUUUUAAGGUGAGUCGAUCACACCUCAAUAAAGGAUCGGUGGCGGCUCUAAUUUUUGUUUUUUAAAGUCGAUAACUAAAGUUUUGUUUUCAAAAAAUAGUUUCAACAGCUUGACGACUCCGUUGGGGAAAAACACGAGAGUCGAGCCAAAAAUUGAUUAAUUUUUGUCUUAAUGUCGAAACUUUUUUGAGAUCCUUUUGCAUUCAUUAUUUUCUUGCUUAAUUGAUCUUUGCAUUAUACAUUGCAUGAGUUGAAUGAUUUUACCCCUCUAAGUGGGAGUGAGAAACUAGUCUUUCGUGAGGUUUUCACCUCCGUGCAGGAUAGUGGAUUGCUUUCGAGAUACAUUCGUACCUAUGUCUUCGUGAGAUUUUCAUUUCCGUGUAGCUAUAGGGAAGUGUAUCCCCCUGAACUGAACUCGAUCUGUAUGAGCCUAUAAUGGGUGAGGAUCAAGGAAUCUGCUGGUUCAGGUACCCUUACUUCAGAACCGAACCACAUAUAGAAGACCUUAGGAGCACACCCUAGGUAGAGCCACUUCAAAACCCUAGUGAUCACCCGAAUAGACGUUCUAUUUAUUCUUGCUUGCUUUUGCUUUGUACUAACCUGUUUCUUUUUUGUUAUAAUUGCAUUACAUUUUCAUCAUAAAAAAGUGGUGUUGAUUCACGUUCAGUUGCGAAAUAGAGAGCUUGUCAUAAGAAAAUGAGUUUCUUGAUAAAAUGGAAGACAAUAUGGUUGUCCGAAUAUGGUCCAAGAAAACGUGAUAAGAGAAGGAUGAUAGUUUAAUGGAGGACUACACGACUAUGGAUUCAAGAUGAAAAAGAUUAUUCGAGAGCCGCUGAACUUUCUUAAAGAGAAGCCAACGAGCAUCACGAGGAUGAGUGAGCAACGAGUUGCGGCCCGGAUCGAGCAAAAAGGAGAUAGAAGAGACAUCUUUUUGAAGAGUUCGUGAGAUUUAUCUUAACGCUCGAAGAAGAGGAUCGAAUGUCUCCGCCUAUGAGGGCAAGGCCGUAUAAAUAUCCAUUUUAUGUAAAGAGAUUUGUUUUCUAGUAAAGUUUUCUAAAUGGAAUUGAAUCAGAAUCAACGUCUCUUUAUGCAUUCAUUACAUGCAUUCGCAUUACAUGACAUUAUACGUAUUAAAGUCCACUAAAAGAGCCUAAUCGAUUAAAAUCAUUCCUCAGUUAACCUGGAAACCAACCAAUAAACUAAACACCGUUACGGUACUCGGGCGAAAUCAAGAAGUAUGGACCAAAGAUUAGAAAAGCUCGAACAAUUCCAAACAUAAAUGCAGGAUCAGCUUCAGCAGCAAAUGAAUGAGCAGCUCGAGAAGAUUCAGCAGAAUUUGAAGGAAAAAAUGAUGGAAUCUCAAGGGAAUAUGAUGGCUAAGUUGACUCAGUUGCUGACCGGAGAAAUUGAUAAAGGAAAAAACUCUGUGCUUAAUGUUGAAGAAGGAGACAGUGAGGGACCUGUCUAUCCUCCAGGCUUUACCCCUCAGCAAGUUGAGGAAUGUCCGCGUAAAUCCUCUGUCACCAUUAGGCCGCAGCAAUUUCAAGCUAGUGCUUCAAUGCCAAUGAAUUUUCAAGUUGGAUCAGGCUCUAAUCCGAGAGACAACCUUUCAAUACGGCUAUUCCUGACUUCGAUGAAACAGCGGGAAAAGAAAAAGUGAAGGAUGAGUUGCCAAAACAGCUAGAGGAAAAGUACAAAUGGCUGGAAGAGAAAUUUAAAACGAUGGAAUGUGCUGAGAGCUACUAUAGGAUUGAUGCUGAAGAAUUAAGCUUGGUUCCGGAUUUAGUACUCCCUUACAAGUUCAAAGUGCCAUAGUUUGAGAAGUAUAAUGGAACUAGUAGUCCCGAAGCCCAUAUUACUAUGUUUUGUAGGCGGAUAACUGGGUAUGUUAGUAAUGACCAGUUGUUGAUACAUUGUUUCCAGGAUAGCCUCACAGGGGCAGUGUCCAAGUGGUACAAUCAAUUAAGUCGUGCCAAGAUUAAUUCAUGGAAAGAUUUAGCACAGGCAUUCAUAAAGCAGUACAAUCAUGUAACUGACAUGGUACCUGAUAAAAUCACUCUACAAAACAUGGAAAAGAAGUCCGGUGAAAGUUUUAGGCAAUACGCACAGAGGUGGAGGGAGGUCGCCAUCCAAGUUCAGCCACCGCUCCUGGAAAGGGAAAUGACAAUGCUAUUCAUAAAUACAUUGAAAGCUCCGUUCAUCACAUAUAUGUUAGGGAGUGCCACAAAAAUAUUUUCUAACAUAAUCAUGAAUGGUGAAAUGAUUGAAAGCGCCAUAAGGAGCGGAAAGAUUGAUGCUGGAGGAAAUAAUAGAAGGCAAGCCUCAAAAGAAAAAGAAAAUGAUGUGAACAGCGUGAAUAUGUACAGUAAAUCGAUUGCUAAUCAGUAGGGUUCAUCAAGACAAGAAUCAUGUGUGAAGCAAGGUACUGAAAAACUCCAGUUCACGCUAAUUCCAAUGUCGUACAAAGAGCUGUAUCAAAGCUUAUUCGAUGUGCAUGUUGUUUCUCCUUUACAUGUGAAGCCUCCACAGCCUCCGUAUCCCAAAUGGUACAACGCAACUGCACAAUGCGAUUAUUAUGCGGGAAUUACAGGACACUCAAUAGAGAAUUGCAUUACCUUCAAAAAGUUAGUUGAAAAAUUCAUCAACAUGGGUAUUGUCAAGUUGGAUGGCUCAUUUAAUGCAGAAAAUUCGCUACCCAAUCAUGAUUGACAAUGGAGUGAAUGCAAUAUAUGAGGAGAUAUUGGGAAGUGUUCACAUCAAUGACAUAUAGGGAGACACAAAUGAAAGGGGGACCUUGUUAGAUAUCCGCCCUUAUAAAUCUGGGAGUGUUCUAAGUAAUUGAACUGCGGAAGAAAUCCCUAUAAUUUUUAGAGCUUAUUUAGAGUAAUGUUCAGAACAUUUUUGUUGUUUUUAGCCUAAAAAUGAUAGAAAUUCCUUUGUGAAAUAGGCUCAUGUCUGAACGUCGUUAUUCUAAUAAAAUACAUCUUUGCAUUCAUUUUUGAGCCAAUAUUUUUUCAUUCUUUUUGAAAUAAUUAUUUUUUCAUUCUUUUGGAUUUUCUUCCAUGUCAUUAUUUCAUUUAUAAUUAUAUUGUACAAAUAGUUAUUCAUAAAUACAUUCUUUUGUAUAUUCUUUUAUAUUGGGUCUCCAGAUAUCAAUAACAUGAGUGACGCUGCUACAGGCUCAGAAUUUUCUUUUGAGCGAAGCAUGUGUUUAGAGGGAUUUCAUGACUUUGAAGAUAACAUAGAUUGUAGCCUAUUUUCGGACUUGUUAAAGAUGGUAGAACAAGUCGAGAAACGGAUCUUACCCUACAAAGAAUCAUUGGGAUACAUGACUUCUCAUUAUAUAGGGCAUGAAGGUUAUUUGGUCGAUCUUGUCAAAAGAGUCUGACGGCCAUUGAUUCAUCUUUGUGAUCGUCAGUUACUUUACUAAAUAAAUAGAAGCUGCUUCAUAUGCCAAUGUCACAAAGUCGACAGUUAACAAAUUCGUGAAAAAUCAUAUGUCAGUAUGGGACGCCAAAAGGAUUAUAUCUGACAAUGUACUAAAUUUGAACAACAGCAUAAUAUCAAAAGUUUGCAGUUUGUUCACGAUUAAUGCCAUAUUGCCUAAAAAAAUAUGGCGCGAAAAAAAAAACUCUGCCAGGGUAAUGCCUUUCUCUUGGGCCCAUCGCGGUUUUGCCUAUUGAAGACAAAAUUCUUUCUGAGUUUUUGAAUCCAAUUCCGAUUGAAGAGGAAUGUUCAAAGUUGUCCAUCAUGGUCAAAUGAGCCAAAAGCAAAUGAUGCAAGUUCACAAAAAAGAUCCAUCCUAGAGAAUUCCUUGAGAGGAACCUGGUAUUGAAAAAGAUCCUUCCCAUACAAAAAGAACUUCAUCCCAAGCUGGGAAGGACCUUAUGUGGAAGGCCUUAUUUAGAAAAGCGUCGAUUUUGAUCAAAAAGGAUAACAAGGACAUGCAUAAUCCUAUGAGUUCAGAUUCAAUCAAAAAUAUUUCAAAAUAUAAAAAAAAACAAAAAAAAAUAGAGAGAAAAGAAGAAAGAAAAUGGAGAGGCCAAGAUGAAAACCCGCAAAGGGCGCCUUGAAACCAAAGGGGAUUUGAGUUGAAAACCCGAAAAGGGCAGCUCAAAUAUUGAUUAGAAUGGGGCAUGAGAUGAUCAGAGCAGUUCAAAUUUUGAUCAGAUUGGGGCAUAUGAUGAUCUUGAAUCAAUAAGAAAGGGUAAACAACAUCUUAGGACAUCGACAGAGUACUGUAGAUCUCCUAAACACAUGUCAAACUCAGAAAGUUUGUAUAAAGAAGUUCAAGCUGCGAUAUCUGGAGCAUCCAAUUUUUAUAUUGAAUUUGCUAUUCUUGGAAUAAUUCAUGCUUUUCCAAUAUACACAUUCCCAAUCAAUUUCUUUGUUAUCCUUAUUUACUAUUUUUUUGAUAAUCUAUUCCUUUCGAGCUAUGCUCAGAACCAAUUGUAUUCUCAUCCAUUGUUAUACCCUUUUUGUAAGUAUGUUGCAUUGGAAUAAUGAUUAAUAGACUAAUAAAACUUUCACAAGGGAAGUUUGGCAUAUUACUCUAGAAGUUUCUAAAUAAUACAGGAACCUGAAACAGAAUUAUUGUUUAGAACGCACCAUGUUUAAAGGUUGGAAAUCUGAAAAAGAAGAGUCUAAAUUAAGACUUUCUCUUUGGAUUUUGUUGUUAAAAACAUUGACUGAACAAAAUGACAAAGCUUAAAUAAACAACUAAGCAAUGAUCACCCUGACAUUGCAGUGGAGUAGAUUGAAGCACCAGUUCUUAUACCUCUGAAGAUGCAGUAGGAAGGAAUGAAGCUACUUGAAGAAGAAGAGUACCAAGGUCCAGCACGACCGAUCAAAAUUGGUUAUUUUUAAAGUCUUUACUUCAUUCCCGUUUCACGACAACAAACAAAGAGGGACAGCUGUAAUACCCAAUUUUAGCCUGGGCGCAUGCAAAUUAAAUAAAAAAAUAAAACCAAAUAAAAUAAAAUUCAGUCCAUUGUCCAUUUACACCCAAAAUAAACCCAAGAUCUUAGCCCAAUUACAUAAAUAAUUAAAACCCAAAUAACCUAAACCCUAGCCCAACAAGCAGCCCAAUACACCCAACAUUUUCAGCAGAGAAAAAAACAAAAAACCCUAGGUAGCCGCAAGCCUAACAGCAACCAAGUGUGCUGUCGUCGCCGCCAUUUACGCGCUACACCUACACGUUGACUGGCCACGUACCUGCAAUUCAGCAAAUAAGGAAGCAAACAGCAAAAAGAAAGGGACUAAUAGAAAAAUGGAAGGAAAGAAAUAUUAUUAUUAUUUAUAUAUCUAUUUUCCUUUUCGUUUUGGCUAUAAAAAGCCAAUUAAAAUCUGUAACAGGGGGAAGACCCGCAUAUUGUAUCAAGAAAUUACAAAAAGAAAAUGAAAAGGAAAGACUGAAUUUUUUUUUCAGAUCUGAUUUUUUUUAAAGUUUUUUUUUUCUGUUGUUCUGUUCUUUUUUUUAUAUAAGUAUGAAACAAAAUAAAAAGGAGGGUGAUUUAGUUUUUUUUUUUUUUGAGUUUUCUUCUUUCUGUUUCGAUCUCUAUUUCAUGUCUUUGAAAUAAUAGUAAGAGAGGGGAGGAGUUGUUUACCUUUUGAUCGGCGGCGUCGUUGUGCUGUGUGGGAGAUGUUUGUAAACGGCGCAGAGAAAGGAAAUGAGCUAUUAAGUUUUUUCUCCUUUGCUUUCUAAUGGCCGAAUGAUUAAGGUUUUUUUAGAUUUAUGAUAAUUUUUAAAACAACACCGUUUGGACUUUAUGCCAAGGCUCAAUGGCUUAUUUGCACUUUUGGUCCUCCUGUUUUACAAUGUUUUUAAAUUACUUUUUUUAUUUCUUGUAAAUUUCGCAACGCAUUUUAUUAUUGUUUCAAUUUAGUCCAAUGUUGUGCAGUGUUUUGGGAGGCUUGGGUAAAUUGCUCCUUCGGUCCUCCUCCUGUUGCG